rnacentral:lncRNA from 1 species
UACUUCUAAAGAUGCUGUGAGUGAAUCGUCUCUCGAAGAAUACGAGUCAUCUCCAGUUUUAGCCGAGCUGUCGCCGAGAUGCGCAAGUCGACUCCGAUCUCAAUGGUAACAUUGUCAGGCUGCACAGUUAUGUCAGAAUGGCUCUUUUACUCCUUCCAACGGCUAUUUUUCAAAAAUUAAAGCUCUGAAAAGUGGUUAUAAAUAAAUUAGAGACAAGAAUACAAAGACCAAUCAAGAGGAUUCAAAGUUUACAACCACCAAAGAAGAGUUAGAGCCUUUUCAAAGAGAAAAGAGAAGUAAUUGCGCCUACAUUAAUUUCAGAAGUAUUCCUCACAUUCAAGAGAAAAGAGAAGUAAUUGCGCCUACAUUAAUUUCAGAAGUAUUCCUCACAUUCAAGGCUCAAUUUAUUGAUCCUCAACCACCGGUAUAUUCAAGAAAGGAUCCAGAAAAGAAGAAGCCAUAUCUUCCUUCAGCAAAAA